rnacentral:pre_miRNA from 1 species
CUGUGCUGUAGGCUCAGGAGGCAGAGCUCUGGGUGUCUCACCAUGGCCUGGAUUCCUCUUCUACUCCCCCUCCUCACUUUCUGCACAGGUGC